rnacentral:rRNA from 1 species
AAAGCAAGACCGUGAGGUGGAGCAAAACUCAAAAACUUGUCUCAGUUCGGAUUNUAGGCUGAAACUCGCCUACAUGAAGCUGGAGUUGCUAGUAAUCGCGAAUCAGCAUGUCGCGGUGAAUACGUUCCCGGGCCUUGUACACACCGCCCGUCACACCAUGAGAGUUGGCAAUACCCAACGUACGUGAUCUAACCCGCAAGGGAGGAAGCGUCCUAAGGUAGGGUCAGCGAUUGGGGUGAAGUCGUAACAAGGUAGC